AGGGAGAAAGUGGUGAGACAAGGCCAAGGCAGCCAUGUCUAGACAGGGGUCAUCAAUGUUGCCUCCUGAGCGGCCUCAAGAUGGUGCUACAAUUGGGGGCCAGCACGGGAAGUAGGGUGGAGGGGAGGUGGCUUUCUUAACCCCUCCCGCCUCUCCCCUCUCUGUGGGGCCUGCAUUAGACAACUUGGUGGUGCGGUGGCAGGGUCAACGUACUCCUCGGCCAUCUUUGUGUCCUUCAGGAUGUGGACGUAGAUGAAGAGGGCUUGCUCAUGCUUCCCCAUGCGGCCCAGCAGCAGUGCGCGCUCUUCUAAGAGGCCUGGGAGUAAGAAGCAGCUUGGAGGAACACGAGAAGGCCCUGUCCCUUCUGUAAGGAGGGGAGUGCCAGGCAAGGGAACCAGAAGAGAAAUGUCACACAGCCUUUAACGCUCCAGGACGCAUACCAUCCCCAAGGAACCUGUGUCUGGCCACAAAAUUUCUGCCAAGCCAGGAAGACGGUGCUCCUCAAAAUCAAAGAAUCAUGAAAAAGUGAAAAAGACAUUUGUGAGAAGUGGCAAAUGAACAAGACAGUUGGUCGUUGUACAUGGUCACCGUACAAAGCACAGUCUGAGGAAAGGAAACGGAGGUGGAGGGCAGGGUGGUCCUCACUGUGAGGCUGCAUCAGCCCCCUGCACCACAGAGUCUUGUCUACAAACAUGGCUCUGAUCACAUCACUGUACUUAAAACCUUGUGCUAUCACCCAAAGCCUCCAAUAUGAUGUCCAAAUUCCCUUGCAGCA